UACCACUACACUCCAGCCUGGGUGGCAGAGUGAGACCCUGUCUCAAAAACAAACAAACAAAAAAAUAAACAAAGUAAGAGAGAAGAACUUCUAGAGCAAUGUCCUUGGGAUCCAGUGCUCAAAGAUAGGGGCUAGACUUAAGUAGGGUCAAGAGGAGUCAUUUACAGUAAGGAUGGGGGGAGGCAGAAUUUACAGGUACAAAUGGCUGGCAGGUGGGUUGAUACUUGGUGGGAGCUUGUGGAAAGGAGUUCUUUUGAGUUGGAUAAAUAGGCCUGAAGUUCAGAACGGAAGUUUGAGCUAAAGAUAGAGACACAGUCAUUAUCCUUUUGUAGAAGAUAGUUGAAGGUAUGAAGUAGAAAAAAACCUGGGGCCAGGGGAGAGGGUAGAGUAAGGGACUGAAAGACAGUGAACAACAAUGUGGCUACUGGCCAUAAGUGCAUUAAGAGUUUAGAGAAGGGAAUAGCAACAAGACUGGAGAGGCAAUGGAUUUGAGCUCGAAAGGCAGGAUUUGGUCAGAAUCAUUCCAGGAUCAGAGCAACAGUGAUCAUGUUACAAUAAGAAGAGUACUUUUAGCUAAGAACACAAAAUAUAAAAUGGAACCAAGAGAAAGAAGGCUCUUACUGUCUGCUUUGAUUCAAUAUAUGCAUGGGAAGUAUCUUAAUUAAUGACAGCAAUGGUCAAGGGAACUCUAAUGGAUUACAGUAUUGAGG
rnacentral:lncRNA from 10 species